rnacentral:rRNA from 1 species
UACGUAGGGGGCUAGCGUUGUCCGGAUUUAUUGGGCGUAAAGAGCUCGUAGGUGGUUCGGUAAGUCGGAUGUGGAAUCUCCAGGCUCAACCUGGAGGGGUCAUUCGAUACUGCCGUGACUAGAGUUCGGUAGAGGAGUGUGGAAUUCCUGGUGGAGCGGUGAAAUGCGCAGAGAUCAGGAGGAACACCCGUAGCGAAGGCGGCACUCUGGGCCGAUACUGACACUGAGGAGCGAAAGCGUGGGGAGCGAACAGG